AUUGUCCCCCAUCUUUUGCAAUACAAUUGUUUGAUGAAUCAUGACCUUAUUCUUCAUUCCAAAUGCAACUCGCCCGAAAACUGUUAUGAAUUGGAAUGGAAGGAAAGGAAGAUGUGUUGGAAGAAAAUGUGAGCAAAUAU
ensembl:ncRNA Y73B6BL.287 ncRNA